AUAUUUGAUUAUACAAUUUAAAUUUGUAAUGAGAUCUAGUUUUACUGAAGAUUAGUCUAUAAUUAUUAAUUACCCUACUUAAAUAGUACAAUUCUAAAUUACUAUUAGAACUAUUUAACAUUUAUUUUUAAAGGAAACAAAUAUACCUUUUUUUCUCCCUUUUAGUAAAAAAAAAGUUUGAUAAUUUUCUGAUAUAACAAAUUCUUUACAGAAGUUGUCAAGUUUUUUCAGUUCGUUUACAAUUACUAGUGUUCGGUGAUGAAGCCCUGAGUCGUGCUCAGGUGUUUCGAUGGCAUAAAAAUUUUAAAAAUGGUCGGGGAUGAACCGCGAAGUGGGAGACCCGUUGAAGCUCGAACUGACAACAAUGUUCAGCGUGUGCGCACUCUCGUGCAUCGAGAUCGGCGUUAAACCGUUCGAAUGUUGGCUGAACUUAAUUUGAAACGAGAAACCGUCAGAAAAUUUUAACUGAUGAUUUGUCCAUGAAAAAGCUGUGUGCAAAGAUGGUAUCUUCAUCAUGAUAAUGCUCCACGCCAUCGUGCCUUCAGUGUGUCGCGAUUUUUGACCUCUAAGAACAUCGCAGUGUUGCCACAAGCGCCCUAUUCGCCGGAUAUGUCACCCUGCGACUUCUUUUUGUCCCCUCAAACAAAAUUGGCCGUGAAAGGAACGCAUUUUGAGUCCAUAACUGACAUCCAGAACGCCGUGACGCGAGGGUACUUCAGGACAUUCCAGUCGAAGCCUUCCAGAAAUGUUAUGAGAGCUGGAAAAAACGUUGGAACCAGUGUAUAGGGGUGGGAGGGGAGUACUUUGAAGGGGAUCACAUCGAUGUAUCUUAAUAUUUGAAUAUACGUAUUUUAUUGAAUUAGCCUCAUUACUUAUUGGUUAGACCUCGUAUAGUCUAAUUGUCGUUCUGUUUUUAACACAAUAAACGUAACUAAAACCUGGAACAAACUUCACCAGAAUGUAGUUUUCUGGGGAAUAGAAAGUAUUUUUUGAUUGUAGUCCUGAUG